rnacentral:rRNA from 1 species
UGGGGAAUAUUGGGCAAUGGGGGCAACCCUGACCCAGCGACGCCGCGUGAGGGAAGAAGGCCUUCGGGUUGUAAACCUCUUUUGUCUGGGAAGAAGGACGUGACGGUACCAUACGAAUAAGUCCCGGCUACCUACGUGCCCGCAGCCGCGGUAAUACGUAGGGGACGAGCGUUUUCCGGAAUUACUGGGCGUAAAGGGCGCGCAGGCUGUUUGCAAAGUCAGCUGUUAAAUAUGGGGGCUUAACCCGUAUAUGCGGUUGAAACUAGCAGACUGGAGUGCUGUAGAGGCAAGUGGAAUUCCCAGUGUAGCGGUGAAAUGCGUAGAUAUUGGGAAGAACACCGGUGGCGAAGGCGACUUGCUGGGCAGCAACUGACGCUGAGGCGCGAAAGCCAGGGGAGCAAACG